GCAUAUCAAUAAGCGGAGGAAAAGAAACCAACAGGGAUUGCCUUAGUAACUGCGAGUGAAGCGGCAAGAGCUCAAAUUUGAAAUCUGGCACCUUCGGUGUCCGAGUUGUAAUUUGUAGAAGCAUCUUUUGGAUUGGUCCUUGCAUAUGUUCCUUGGAACAGGACAUCAUAGAGGGUGAGAAUCCCGUUCAUGGUGGGGAAUCCAAUUCUUUGUAAAGUGCUUUCGAAGAGUCGAGUUGUUUGGGAAUGCAGCUCUAAGUGGGUGGUAAAUUCCAUCUAAAGCUAAAUAUUGGCGAGAGACCGAUAGCGAACAAGUACAGUGAUGGAAAGAUGAAAAGAACUCCGAAAGGAGAGUGAAAAAGGACGUGAAAUUGUUGAAAGGGAAGUGCUUGAGAUCAGUCUUAAGGUUUAGUGAUCAGUCUUCCUUUUGGUUGGUGCACUCACUAUUUCUUAGGCCAACAUCAGUUUUGGCGGCAGGAUAAUGACAUUGGAAUGUGGCUCUUUCGGGAGUGUUAUAGCCUUUGUUGAUACUGCCUGCUUAGACUGAGGACUGCGCUUUUGCUAGGAUGUUGGCAUAAUGAUCUUAAGCAGC
rnacentral:rRNA from 2 species